UUUGCAUAAUUUUUGUCUCAGUUCUUUUGUUGAAACUUUAGGUUUCCUGCAUAUGUCAAACAUUAACGGAGAAGAUGCCGUAUUAGGGUCCCCUGCUGCAACGAGAUUUCUACUAUUGCCAUUGUCAUAAUGAGGCAAAGGUCAGUUCAUCUUCCUUUUUUUUCAAGUUUUUGUUCUGAGACAUUUAUAUUUCUUUCCUGUUCCUCAAGUCUACAAUUUUUGAGAAACAGUCCAUUUCCUUUUAGUAGCAAAUUGCAAUACUUAAGACUUUCAAAUCAUUAUUUUUAAAUCUUAUGUUGUGGCAUUCCAUUUUUUUCUCUUUAUUUGGAACUUAUUUUACUAUCAUGUUUCUCUAUAGGAUGAUAUCAGGAUGGUUCCGAAGCUUAGACAUGACAUUCCCCGUCAUCAAGUUAAACAGGUGAUAUGUUCACUUUGUGGGACCGAACAAGAGUAAGAGAAAUACCUUUAUGUAUGCGAGCAUGGAGGGAUCCAGCCUCCAGGAAUUUGGUAGAGGAGUGGCCGAAAAUUAAAAUAUUAUAUAAUCAUAACUAGGGAAGGACUCGUGCUACGCACGGAAAUAGAUCAACAUAAGAAGCUGAAGAAGAAAACAAAUGUCGGAGAGAUGCAAAUUUUUUUACAACAUCAAAUAUAGCACUUUCACUAAAAUCAUUGCAUGAAGCAAUCAGAAUAUUCCCGCUAGA